rnacentral:rRNA from 1 species
UUAUGGCUCAGGAUGAACGCUGGCGGCGUGCCUAACACAUGCAAGUCGAACGAAGCACUGGAAGCGGAGAUUCGUCAAAGUUCCUUGACUUAGUGGCGGACGGGUGAGUAAUGUGCGAGCAACCUGCCUUUCAGAGGGGGACAACAGUUGGAAACGACUGCUAAUACCGCAUAAUGUAUUGAUGGGGCAUCCUGUUGAUACCAAAGGAGUGAUCCGCUGAAAGAUGGGCUCACAUCUGAUUAGCUAGUUGGUAGGGUAACGGCCUACCAAGGCUGCGAUCAGUAGCCGGACUGAGAGGUUGAACGGCCACAUUGGGACUGAGAUACGGCCCAGACUCCUACGGGAGGCAGCAGUGGGGAAUAUUGGGCAAUGGGCGAAAGCCUCGACCCAGCAACGCCGCGUGAAGGAAGAAGGUCUUCGGAUUGUAAACUUCUUUUAUGAGGGACGAAGGACGUGACGGUACCUCAUGAAUAAGCCACGGCUAACUACGUGCCAGCAGCCGC